rnacentral:lncRNA from 1 species
ACUCACUUCAUCCAGAAGGCGAGCCCACGUCUCCUCGCCCGCUCAGCCUUCUCCUGUAGGUGAAGACGGGGCAGGGGUGCUGGUCAGGCCCUGCCACACAGCCAGGGCUCGUGCAGGACAGUGGCAGCCCGGCAGCGCAGCAGCACAGCCCCAGCGCUGCAGGGAGCCCUGUCCCCAGGGACACCCUUGUCAGAUGGGGUGAGGGUGCGCUGGGUGCCCUCCAGGUCCCCACCAGGGGACAGGCAGCCCCGAUCCCCUCGCCCCUGCACACUACCUUGAUCUCCUUUGUCUCAGCCUGCAGCUGCUCUUCCAGCUGGGCAAUGAGCUGCAUUUCCUGCAAGACAAUCGAUGUGCCAUGUGGGGCGGCUGCGCUGGGCCCCAUGGACCCGAGGGAUGGGGACCGAGGUCCUCCCACAGAGCCAAAGCUGUGAGUGCACUGAGCUCUGAGGACGAGCCCCAGCUCCACCCUACCUGCUCCAGAUCCUCCUUCCUGGCAGCUGUUCUUUCUGCCCGUAUUUGCUGGGCAUCCUGCAGGAAAGGGGAAGGGGAGCGGCCAUCAGGGCACCGACGCUCUCACGAAGCUCCAUCUGACAGCAGCUCCAUGCCACACUCCCCUCCUGCCUCCUCCAUGGAGGAGCUGCAGACCCACACGAGGGGACAUCUGCUCACCUUCAUCAAGGAUUCCCUGGCCUCAGCCUUGCGCUUCUCCACGGCGCGCUCAUGAGCCUGUGGGAGGGGAGAGGAGCAGCGUUGGCACCGAGGUGCUGCCGGCAGCUCUGCAUCCCACCGGAGGUGCCCGGCCCUCUGCUGCCAUGCCAUGGGCAGGCUGCCCUCCAGCCGGCAGCUCCCCCCGCCGGCCCUUCUGUGUCUGUGCACCCAGAGCUCACCAGCAGCUCCUCCUCCACCAGCUUCGCACGCCACACCGCCCUUAAUCUUCUGCUGACACACUGGGCCCGCAUUACUGCACCACUCGCACAGCUCCUCGCUGGACCAGCACCACCCGCAGAAUGGGGCCAGCAGGUUCCGCGCUGACCCACUGCCCCUGCCCCACCCCAGGGCAUCUGUGAGGUCAUCACGUCAUGGUGACAUCACCCGCACAGGAGGGUCCUGGAAGAUCAUAGAACCAUAGGAUGGUCCGUGUUGGAAGGGUCCUGGAAGAUCAUAGAACUGCAGGACGGCGUGGCUUGGGAGGUUCCUUAGUGAUCACAGAACCAUAGAAUGGUUUGUGUUGCAAGAGUCCUGGAAGAUGAUAGAACCACAGGAUGGUGUGGCUUGGAAGGGUCCUGGAAGAUCAUAGAAUCACAGAAUGGUUCUUUGAAACAGCUGUGAAGGAUCUGUGAGCAAAUCCGCCGUCAGUAGUUGGUGCCGCGGGAAGGCCUGAGGUCCGACCUUUCCUCCAACGGCUUCAGUGUAACUUUGGAAAGACAGUGCUCACACCUGGUUUGUUCUAUCUGCCAGGACGUCUGUUCCCUCAGAUGGCAUUUCUGGAGUCGGUUUCCCCAGCUCCGGAAAGAAGGGUUUGUGUUAGGGUUAGGAUUAUCAUUAAGUUUACCAUUACGGUUAGUGCUGGAGUUAGGGCUAUGGUUAGGGCUAGGGUUUGGCUUAGGGUUAGGCUUAGGCUUAGGGCUAUGGAUUGGGUUAGGGUUAGCUGUUGGCUUAGGUUUAGGAUUAGGGAUUGCCUUAGGUUUAGGAUUAGGUGUUGGUUUAGAUGUUGGGCUAGGGUUAGGGUUUGGGUUAGGCGUUGGUUUAGGUCUCCCCGGGGCCCUCUCUUCUCCAAGCUGAACAAGCCCAGUUCCCUCAACCUUUCCUCACAGGAGAGGUGCUCCAGCCCUCUGGCCAUCUUAGUGGCCCUCCUCUGGACCUGCUCCAAGAGCGCCACGUCCUUCCUGUGCUGGGGGCUCCAGGCCUGGACGCGGU